GACAGAGGGUGCAAGCGUUGUUCGGAAUUAUUGGGCGUAAAGCGCACGUAGGCGGCUCGUUAAGUCGGGUGUGAAAGCCCGGGGCUCAACCCCGGAAGUGCACUUGAAACUGGCGAGCUGGAGUCUCGGAGAGGGUGGUGGAAUUCCUGGUGUAGAGGUGAAAUUCGUAGAUAUCAGGAGGAACACCCGAGGCGAAGGCGACCGCCUGGACGAUGACUGACGCUGAGGUGCGAAAGCGUGGGGAGCAAACAGG
rnacentral:rRNA from 1 species